rnacentral:rRNA from 1 species
CAGCAGCCACGGUAAUACGGAGGGUGCGAGCGUUAAUCGGAAUAACUGGGCGUAAAGGGCACGCAGGCGGUUAUUUAAGUGAGGUGUGAAAGCCCCGGGCUUAACCUGGGAAUUGCAUUUCAGACUGGGUGACUAGAGUACUUUAGGGAGGGGUAGAAUUCCACGUGUAGCGGUGAAAUGCGUAGAGAUGUGGAGGAAUACCGAAGGCGAAGGCAGCCCCUUGGGAAUGUACUGACGCUCAUGUGCGAAAGCGUGGGGAGCAAACAGGAUUAGAUACCCCUGUAGUCCCUGUCUCUUAUAC